GUUACAUAUUAUCUCGGUUCUGCAUUUUGGACCUAACAGUCAUAAACAUGAUAAGGGAAUUUCGUCAGUCCUGGAGUCUGCAGCUCAGGCGAAGAGGGAGGACAGCGUCUGACUUACUGAAACUCAUUACUUACCUUCUCAUAGGGUUUGUAGAAAUGGCUAACGAACCACUCUUCGUCAAUGUGAGCAAGUGGAUUUCGGAGAAUGAAAAUGCCUUCCUGCCGCCAGUGUGCAACAAACUCAUGCAUUUUCGCCAGCUGAACAUCAUGUUUGUGGGCGGUCCCAACACUAGGAAGGAUUAUCACAUUGAAGAAGGUGAAGAGCUCUUCUAUCAGAUCCAUGGGGACAUGUGUCUGAAAAUAGUGGAGAAUGGAAAGCACAAGGACAUCCACAUCCGUGAGGGAGAGAUGUUUCUGCUCCCCGCUCGGAUCCCGCACUCCCCACAGCGGCAGGCCAAAACAGUGGGUUUGGUGGUGGAGCGCAGGAGACUGCUAACUGAGAAAGAUGCCCUCAGGUACUAUGUGGACAACAGCACUGAGAUCCUGUGGGAACGCUGGUUCCACUGCAAGAACCUGGGAACCCAGCUGGUACCUGUCAUUAAAGAAUUUUUUGCUUCUGAGGAGCACCGCACUGGGAAGCCAAACCCAGCGGACCCACCCAAGAAAGCCCCCUUCCCCCUGAACACUGUAAGCGUGAUGGCACCAUUCCGCUUCAAGGACCGUGUGGAUGGUCUCGGUGCCGAUAUCGCCAGUGGCAAACCAGUGGACAUGUUUGGGCCGGAGUUCGAGACAGAGGUGCUGUUGCUUGGGCCAGGGGAGACCAACACCACCAAGCAUGAGACUGAUCGCUGGAUCUGGCAACUGGAGGGUUCCUCAGAGGUCACUCUCAACGGUGAAAAGUUCAACCUCACCAUGGGAGACAGUGUGCUGAUACCUGAGAAGAACGAAUAUCACUGGAAGAGAAGUAAGGACUGCAUUUCUUUGUUUGUUGCUCAAGACCAUGACCGUAAAAAACCCUUCUAAUCAGCCUCAGCCUUCUCCGGAUGUCUCUGUGUGUGUAAGUGAGUUUCCAAGAGAUAGACAUAGAACAAUAUGGGAUAUUGCAUUAGGUGUACAAUUGCUAAACUUACUUAUUCCUUAUUGUUAAACUUUAAUCUUUAAUCGAUCAUCGCAGGGUUUUUCUUGCAAGAUGGUACAACUUGUUUGCACAAUUGGUUCAAAGCUGACUCAGGCAGACACAUAUCAGGGUUAACAGUCUAGUGACAUUCUUAUGUGAGAUGUGGGCCUGAUGCACUUUAUGUUGCAAGCUCACUAUCAAUGCUAUCAUAGGCUUGUCAAUUACUUCACACAGGACUCGAUAACCACGAAAUCUCAGGUUUAUGUUUCAAAUAAUUUAACUGUUACCAUACUGGCAUACUACAUUCUCUUAAAGCACAAUGCUAUAGUGAAUAACUAAACUGCAUUCCACAGUGUAUAUAUUUUUUUGUAAUUGAUCAAUAAUGUGGGUAAAUAAUUAUUAUAGUGGCCCCAAUCUCGGCAUCCUAUAUAAUAAUGAGAUAAAAUGGCUUGUGUUAUGCAGACGCUUUUAUCAAAGUAACAUGGUUGGACUGGUAACAGCGGGCUGGGAAUUCAAAUCCAGGGAGACCAGUUUGGGUCUUUUUUUGUAAUAUUUAGCAAGAAUGUAUUUUUACUUUGUAUCAACACAUGUAAUUUUUACUACUUAAUUAGUGCAAUGUAAAGUUAGCACAGGAACAGUGUAUGUUGUCCUAAAAUACGCUUCUUAUUAACAUUAUGAUAAAGUGUGCCUCUUUAUCUCAGGGAGGAAGAUGAUUAUAUGUAGAUGAGAAAGAUCAGGCCUCCUCAGAUUACAUUACAAACUAGACAGAGUAUAGACAUUGUAUAUGACUUUCAACUCUGCUAGACUGUGUGUUCACUGACUGAAAAGAAAUCAAUGAGGAAUGGUGGGUGAUUCGGCUGUUAGUUCUGGAAUUCCUGGAACUUCCAUGUAAACAUCUGUGUGUGUGCCUGUGUGUGUGUCUCUGUGUGUCUGUGUGAGAAAAUACAUACGGAAAAGAUAGCCUAACAGGGAAUGUAAAUGAUCGCGUGGGAUCUCCUUGCUGUCAACACUUCAUUGUUCAACCGAUUCCUAUCAGCCUCUGGAAGAUCAUUGAUAUAAUCAACUUGAUAGUCUUACUAAAAAUGUGUAAACAUG